GGGGCUUGCUCCUUAUGAAAGUGGCGCACGGGUGCGUAACGCGUAUGCAACCUACCUCAAUCAGGGGGAUAGCCCGAAGAAAUUCGGAUUAACACCGCAUAAAAACACAGGAUAGCAUUAUCUAAUGUUCAAAUAUUUAUAGGAUUGAGAUGGGCAUGCGUGUCAUUAGCUAGUUGGCGGGGUAACGGCCCACCAAGGCGACGAUGACUAGGGGAUCUGAGAGGAUGACCCCCCACACUGGUACUGAGACACGGACCAGACUCCUACGGGAGGCAGCAGUAAGGAAUAUUGGUCAAUGGAGGCAACUCUGAACCAGCCAUGCCGCGUGCAGGAAGACAGCCCUCUGGGUCGUAAACUGCUUUUAUUCGGGAAUAAACCUUAUUACGUGUAAUAAGCUGAAUGUACCGAAGGAAUAAGGAUCGGCUAACUCCGUGCCAGCAGCCGCGGUAAUACGGAGGAUCCAAGCGUUAUCCGGAUUUAUUGGGUUUAAAGGGUGCGUAGGCGGCUUAUUAAGUCAGGGGUGAAAGACGGUGGCUCAACCAUCGCAGUGCCUUUGAUACUGAUGAGCUUGAAUGAACUAGAGGUAGGCGGAAUGUGACAAGUAGCGGUGAAAUGCAUAGAUAUGUCACAGAACACCGAUUGCGAAGGCAGCUUACUAUGGUUUUAUUGACGCUGAGGCACGAAAGCGUGGGGAUCAAACAGGAUUAGAUACCCUGGUAGUCCACGCCCUAAACGAUGAAUACUCGCUGUUAGCGAUAUACAGUUAGCGGCUAAGCGAAAGCGUUAAGUAUUCCACCUGGGGAGUACGCCCGCAAGGGUGAAACUCAAAGGAAUUGACGGGGGCCCGCACAAGCGGAGGAGCAUGUGGUUUAAUUCGAUGAUACGCGAGGAACCUUACCCGGGCUUGAAAGUUAGUGAAUUAUCUAGAGAUAGAUAAGUGAGCAAUCACACGAAACUAAGGUGCUGCAUGGCUGUCGUCAGCUCGUGGCCGUGAGGUGUUGGGUUAAGUCCCC
rnacentral:rRNA from 1 species